rnacentral:rRNA from 1 species
GUGUCAGCCGCCGCGGUAAUACGGAGGAGGCAAGCAUUGUCCGGAAUUAUUGGGCGUAAAGAACACGUAGGUGGUUUUUCAAGUCAUGUGUGAAAACUUUGGGCUUAACUCAAAGAUUGCAUAUGAUACUGAUUAACUAGAGUACAGUAGAGGAAAGUGGAAUUCCUGGUGUAGCGGUGAAAUGCGCAGAUAUCAGGAAGAACACCGGUGGCGAAAGCGGCUUUCUGGACUGUUACUGACGCUGAGGUGUGAAAGCUAGGGUAGCGAACAGGAUUAGAUACCCUGGUAGUCCUAGCCGUAAACGAUGGACACUAGGUGUGGGGAGUUAUCGACGCUCUCUGUGCCGAAGCUAACGCAUUAAGUGUCCCGCCUGGGGAGUACGGUCGCAAGACUAAAACUUAAAGAAAUUGACGG